CCAAUUAGAAAUAUAUUUAAUUAAGCUACUAACUUAAUAUAUAGUGAUUUAUUUCAUUAAUAUUUCU
rnacentral:tRNA from 2 species